UACGGGGGGGGCAAGCGUUGUUCGGAAUUACUGGGCGUAAAGGGCUCGUAGGCGGCCAACUAAGUCGGACGUGAAAUCCCCAGGCUCAACCUGGGAACUGCAUCCGAUACUGGAUGGCUUGAAUUCGGGAGAGGGAUGCAGAAUUCCAGGUGUAGCGGUGAAAUGCGUAGAUAUCUGGAGGAAUACCGGUGGCGAAAGCGGCUCACUGGACCACAACUGACGCUGAGGCGCGAAAGCUAGGGGAGCAAACAGG
rnacentral:rRNA from 1 species